GACGAACGCUGGCGGCGUGCCUAAUACAUGCAAGUAGAACGCUGAAGGAGGAGCUUGCUCUUCUGGAUGAGUUGCGAACGGGUGAGUAACGCGUAGGUAACCUGCCUGGUAGCGGGGGAUAACUAUUGGAAACGAUAGCUAAUACCGCAUAAGUGUAGAUGUUGCAUGACAUUUACUUAAAAGGUGCAAUUGCAUCACUACCAGAUGGACCUGCGUUGUAUUAGCUAGUUGGUGGGGUAACGGCUUACCAAGGCGACGAUACAUAGCCGACCUGAGAGGGUGAUCGGCCACACUGGGACUGAGACACGGCCCAGACUCCUACGGGAGGCAGCAGUAGGGAAUCUUCGGCAAUGGACGGAAGUCUGACCGAGCAACGCCGCGUGAGUGAAGAAGGUUUUCGGAUCGUAAAGCUCUGUUGUAAGAGAAGAACGAGUGUGAGAGUGGAAAGUUCACACUGUGACGGUAUCUUACCAGAAAGGGACGGCUAACUACGUG
rnacentral:rRNA from 1 species